UACGUAGGUGGCAAGCGUUGUCCGGAUUUACUGGGCGUAAAGAGCGCGCAGGCGGCUGAUUAAGUCGAAUGUGAAAGCCCCCGGCUCAACUGGGGAGGGUCAUUCGAUACUGAUCAACUUGAAGGCAGGAGAGAGAAGUGGAAUUCCCGGUGUAGUGGUGAAAUGCGUAGAUAUCGGGAGGAACACCAGUGGCGAAGGCGGGUCGUCUGGGCAGUAACGUGACGCUGAGGAGGCGAAAGCGUGGGGAGCGAACAGG
rnacentral:rRNA from 1 species